rnacentral:misc_RNA from 1 species
AAAAAGGAUCAGUACAUGAAGAGAAGUAUAUGAAUGAGUAGCAUUAAAUUGGAAUACAAAAUAGUCCAACAAGCAGAAGUCAAUACCCAACCACCACCCUUGCUGACUGGUGAGGCUCCAUCAUCAUUUUCUACUGUUUAUUUAUAAAAAAAAAUAAAUUAAAAACUUGAAGUCUUACCACAAAGCAAGGGUCACAUCUUCGUUAUCAUCCCAUAUAUUAUAUUAAUAUUUCUCUUCCCUCAUUUCCCUUCUUGCUUGCAUUUCUGCAUUCUCCAUGAAUGCUACCCUUCUUUCUUACUUGCCCAUACACCUAGACCUACGUACAGCUUUUUUUUUAUCUUUUUCUUUUUAUUUAACACAAAAAUUUGUGCACAAAUUCAGUUAUGAAAAUUUUGGACCGUUGAAUGAGCAAGAGAUCUCACUCAACCAAUGAUCUACGAUUUACCAUAUACUGAAUUUGUGUACACAUUUUUGUGUACCCUUAAAUUUUCAUUACUACUGCCCUCUACUAAUUUAUUUGGUAUUAGUACCCAAUAUCUCGUCACUCUUCAAGAUAAAAACACAUACAUACUACCCUAUGUCUUGCCCUGGGGUGCAGCAUUAUGCUCAGGGCAGGAGGCAGCGGAGGUGCUAAGAGCGGAAGUAAUCUGGUGCACUGUGUUGCGCAAGUGGUUAUUGAUGGCGUUGACGCUGGAGAGAUUGAGCUUUGCAGAUGGGAUUGUGCUGGCAAGUACUUGGAGCCCCACGGUGAGUAAACAUCCUGAAUUAGUACAAUUUCCUUCUUGUAAAGAUUGAAUAGAGUUGCCUUCAUUCACAGUGUUGCUGUUACAGGUGGAUUCCACUGGAACUAUCACAAACCCUAAUGGAAGAAGAGGGAUGCAAGAUGGGUCUUCCCCACUCAUAGCUAGCUGGAUUGAAUCAACAUUGACGGUUGUGUACACAACCAAGCUUCCAGAUUGGUCUGUACAACUCUCUUGCAGCAUCAGCUCUACGUUUUGGGAAGAGUUGCUUGCAACAUUGAUGCGAAGAAGAGAAAUGCAGUUGCCUGGAUGAGAACCAUUGGCAAUGUGAGCAACUUCAUGUAAGGCGUUCCCAUUAGAAAGAACAUCAAGCUGAGAUCUGCGGUGCUCAUCCCUCAAGAGCUCAAAGACAUGGUAAUGAGGAAAGGGCAGCCAAGUGGUGGAUACUGCACUGAGAAUGACACCAUUAGGUUGGCCAGGCUCAGUGAUUUUCCUAGUCGUAAUACGAACAGUGUCAUUGCAGGAAUCAGAUAAGGCUGUCCAUGACUGGCCACCGCAAGUGCUUACAUUCACAGAAAAUGUUCUUAUCAUUCUUUGUGCCAGUCUCAUCAAAUUCUUUCUUGCUUCCGGAGAAGGUAUCACUCCUAAGUCUGAGAUAUUUCUGGCCAUGAGGCUAGCAACCCUCUCGCAUUGUCGUUGUAAUACUCCUAACCAGCGAUGAGCUCCAAACGCCAUCCCACUACUGACAAAUUGACUAAAUAUCUGAUGCACGGGCUUCUCCUCAAUCUCUGCUUGUUCUACCCAAGUAACCCUUGAGUACCCAUUGGGCAUAUCCUGAAUGACACAGCCAGAGGGCCUUCUCCUGUAUAAGGGGAAACGAGGUUGAAUAUUGUCAUGGAAGCCAUCAAUUGGAAAAUCAACAAUUGCCCAAUUUCCUUCCUCUACAUUUUGUUGGCAAUAGCGAAGAAAAUAGGCCUCCCUAGUAGGCACCAAUGGAGAAAGAACUUGUAGUUCUGCAUACAUCAAGUGAAGAGAACCACUAGCACAUGGAACACCUGAGGUUAUAAUUUGAACAGUUUUUGCUCUAGCAACAAUCGAAGGAAACAGCUCCAUCCAUUUAUUUGCAUCGAGGAAGGCAUCGACCAAGGUGAUGCUAUUCAUUAUAACUACAGCGCUAUCACGAGUAGCUUCAUUCCUCGACUCAUUUGAAUGCUGCUUGAGAUUCAGAGGCCACGGAAACAUCUUUGCAUGCUCUUCAAGAUUAAGCACCUCCUUUCCAUUCUCAUUGUUUCUGAUCCAAAGAGGUUCAGUUGCUUGGCACAUCUUCACGAGUUCAUCAAUGGAUGACAUUGCAAGCUCCAUUGCAAGAGUUUUUUCCUCUUCCAUCAACACAAGUCCAGCUUCAGCAAAGGAAGAAGUUCCCGGCAACAUAAGCAUAGGCAUCAUCUCAGUGCAAGAACCCAAGGAGUCUGGGAAGUGCCUUGAAUAUAUGUUCAUAUCCAAGUCCAAGGAAGGGAGAACAAGUGUAGAAGUAGGCUGCAUUGCUUGAAUUGGCCGGCCAGCAUAGCGUGAAGCAAUGCAACAGACACGCUCUAACUCAUCUCUAAGUCGUGCAUUUUCCAUUCGAAGCUCCUCAAAGGAAAUCCCACCAAUCAUGGCUGGCCCUCCACAACUUGGGCAGAUGAGAUUGCGUAAUUCUGCUUGUAGCAGGUAAUUAUCAUUUUUCAAGGUCUCGUUCUCUGUCCUGAGUAUAAUAUUAUCCGAUCGAUCUUGCUGUGCCUUCAUUUGGGUACGGCGAUUUUGGAACCAAAACUUAAUUUGACGUGGUUUUAAACCAAGUUCUUGGCUAAGUUUCAUCCUUUGUUUGUCAUCCGGGUGUGGACAUUCCUUAAACAAGGCUUCCAUUUCUUGGAUCUGGCGUGCAGUGUGCCUAUGGUAACGCUUCUUCUUUAGAGGCUUCUCGGUGCUCUCUUGCUCAUUCCCUGACUUCUCUUCAACUUGUUCACUUCCAGAACCACUCUCCAUCUCCUCCUUUUCACGCAUCAUUCCACUUUCUUCUUUAGGGAUGAUGGAAGGGAAAGAAUGGAAGGGCAUGUUUGGCAGGAAGUCGAAGUUAGGGUUUCCCAUGGCAGAGGAAAAAAGGGUUUCUGAAGAGACCACAUUCGCUCCCAUGUUUGACAAAAUUUGGCAAUCCCCAUACAUAUUUGUUUCCUUCUUCGAUAUAUGUUUAUAUAAGCUAAUUAGUAAAAGAAACAGCCCAAAUAUUCUGGUCUCUAAAACCUAGCCGUACUGUGUCUGCCAUUACAGUCAAGAACAAAGAAUACAUAUGUAAGAAAUUAAUAUAAAAAAAAAAAUGUGAAAUGGGCUCAAUGAAAUCUAAACAUGCAGCUCAAGAAAAUCAUACAAACUUGAAAGACAGACUAGAAAAAUGGAAACAAUAUAAAGGUAUAAAUCUGAAAGAAGAACAAGUUUCAUUUUCCUGGGUAAAUGUUGCAGACUAUCUUGUAAACGAGAUUCAAGAACCACCAUUAAAGACUGAGAAAUAAAUUCUCAAAUCAAAGCAUAAACUACAAGGAGAAAGUAAAUACUACCAACAAUAUUAUGUCUACUGUUUUUUGGAAUUUCAGAAUUGAAUUCUUGGAAAGAGAAAUGGAGAAGAAAAUCUCUCUCCUUUCCCUUCAGCCCUUCUCCCUGUAGCCCACUCACUCUCACUCUCACUAUCUCUCGU